rnacentral:rRNA from 1 species
AUUGAACGCUGGCGGCAGGCCUAACACAUGCAAGUCGAGCGAGCGGCGGACGGGUGAGUAAUGUCUGGGAACCUGCCUGAUGGAGGGGGAUAACUACUGGAAACGGUAGCUACUACCGCAUACCAUCGGAUGUGCCCAGAUGGGAUUAGCUGGUAGGUGGGGUAAAGGCUCACCUAGGCGACGAUCCCUAGCUGGUCUGAAAGGAUGACCAGCCACACUGGAACUGAGACACGGUCCAGACUCCUACGGGAGGCAGCAGUGGGGAAUAUUGCACAAUGGGCGAAAGCCUGAUGGAGCCAUGCCGCGUGUAUGAAGAAGGCUUUCGGGUUGUAAAGUACUUUCAGCGGGGAGGCGUUACCCGAAGAGGAAGCACCGGCUAACUACGUGCCAGCAGCCGCGGUAAUUC